GGAAAAAUCGCCUAAUGGUAUGGCAAUAGUUUGCUAAACUGUGCAUCUAACAGAUGCUUGGGGGUUCGAAUCCCCUUUUUUCCG
rnacentral:tRNA from 2 species